GCAUUAGUAGCUCAGCUUUUAGAGCGUCGGUUUUGUAAACCGAAAGUCGGGGGUUAGACUCCCCCCUAUUGCU
rnacentral:tRNA from 2 species